UACGGGGGGGGCAAGCGUUGUUCGGAAUUACUGGGCGUAAAGGGCCAGUAGGCGGCCAACUAAGUCGGAUGUGAAAUCCCCAGGCUUAACCUGGGAACUGCAUCCGAUACUGGAUGGCUUGAAUUCGGGAGAGGGAUGCAGAAUUCCAGGUGUAGCGGUGAAAUGCGUAGAUAUCCGGAGGAACACCAGUGGCGAAGGCGGCCUUCUGGGAUGAUCCUGACGCUCAGACACGAAAGCUAGGGGAGCGAACGGG
rnacentral:rRNA from 1 species